AUUUUUUUUGUUUUCAAUUCAAACACGAGGUC
rnacentral:tRNA from 2 species